CCAGACUCCUACGGGAGGCAGCAGUGGGGGAUAUUGCACAAUGGGGGAAACCCUGAUGCAGCGACGCCGCGUGAGUGAAGAAGUAUUUCGGUAUGUAAAGCUCUAUCAGCAGGGAAGAAGAUGACAGUACCUGAGUAAGAAGCCCCGGCUAACUACGUGCCAGCAGCCGCGGUAAUACGUAGGGGGCAAGCGUUAUCCGGAUUUACUGGGUGUAAAGGGAGCGUAGACGGUUAUGCAAGUCUGGAGUGAAAGCCCGGGGCUCAACCCCGGGACUGCAUUGGAAACUGUCAGGCUAGAGUGUCGGAGAGGCAAGUGGAAUUCCUAGUGUAGCGGUGAAAUGCGUAGAUAUUAGGAGGAACACCAGUGGCGAAGGCGGCUUGCUGGACGAUGACUGACGUUGAGGCUCGAAAGCGUGGGGAGCAAACAGGAUUAGAUACCCCAGUAGUA
rnacentral:rRNA from 1 species